rnacentral:rRNA from 1 species
GACGAACGCUGGCGGCGUGCUUAACACAUGCAAGUGGAGCGACGAACCGGGGCUUGCCCCGGGGCAGAGCCGCGAACGGGUGAGUAACACGUGGGUUACCUGCCCCAAUGACCGGGACAACCCGAGGAAACUCGGGCUAAUACCGGAUGUGGUCUUCGGACGAAAGGAAGCUUUUAGCCUCCGCAUUGGGAUGGGCCCGCGGCGCAUUAGCUUGUUGGUGGGGUAACGGCCUACCAAGGCGA